rnacentral:rRNA from 1 species
UACGUAGGGCGCAAGCGUUAUCCGGAAUUAUUGGGCGUAAAGAGCUCGUAGGCGGUUUGUCGCGUCUGCCGUGAAAGUCCGGGGCUCAACUCCGGAUCUGCGGUGGGUACGGGCAGACUAGAGUGAUGUAGGGGAGACUGGAAUUCCUGGUGUAGCGGUGAAAUGCGCAGAUAUCAGGAGGAACACCGAUGGCGAAGGCAGGUCUCUGGGCAUUAACUGACGCUGAGGAGAGAAAGCAUGGGGAGCGAACAGG